rnacentral:rRNA from 1 species
ACGGAAGGCAGCAGUGGGGAAUAUUGGACAAUGGGGGAAACCCUGAUCCAGCGACGCCGCGUGAGUGAAGAAGUAUUUCGGUAUGUAAAGCUCUAUCAGCAGGGAAGAUAAUGACGGUACCUGACUAAGAAGCCCCGGCUAACUACGUGCCAGCAGCCGCGGUAAUACGUAGGGGGCAAGCGUUAUCCGGAUUUACUGGGUGUAAAGGGAGUGUAGGUGGCAAGACAAGUCAGAAGUGAAAAUCCGGGGCUCAACCCCGGAACUGCUUUUGAAACUGUCUAGCUAGAGUGCAGGAGAGGUAAGUGGAAUUCCUAGUGUAGCGGUGAAAUGCGUAGAUAUUAGGAGGAACACCAGUGGCGAAGGCGGCUUACUGGACUGUAACUGACACUGAGGCUCGAAAGCGUGGGGAGCAAACAGGAUUAGAUACCCUGGUA